rnacentral:rRNA from 1 species
CAAUAGCGUAUAUUAAAGUUGUUGCAGUUAAAAAGCUCGUAGUUGGAUUUCUGGUGGGAGCGAUCGGUCUGGCGCUUAGCGCGAGUACUUGCAUCGUCUCCGGCCAUCCUUGGGGAGAGUCUGUCUGGCAUUAGGUUGUCGGGCAGAGGAUCCUCAUCGUUUACUGUGAAAAAAUUAGAGUGUUCAAAGCAGGCUUAUGCCGUUGAAUAUAUUAGCAUGGAAUAAUAAGAUAGGACUUUGGUACUAUUUUGUUGGUUUGCGCACCAAAGUAAUGAUUAAUAGGGACAGUUGGGGGUAUUCGUAUUCCGUUGUCAGAGGUGAAAUUCUUGGAUUUACGGAAGACGAACUACUGCGAAAGCAUUUGCCAAGGAUGUUUUCAUUA